rnacentral:rRNA from 1 species
CAACCGGGAUUGCCUUAGUAACGGCGAGUGAAGCGGCAAAAGCUCAAAUUUGAAAUCUGGUACCUUCGGUGCCCGAGUUGUAAUUUGGAGAGGGCAACUUUGGGGCCGUUCCUUGUCUAUGUUCCUUGGAACAGGACGUCAUAGAGGGUGAGAAUCCCGUGUGGCGAGGAGUGCGGUUCUUUGUAAAGUGCCUUCGAAGAGUCGAGUUGUUUGGGAAUGCAGCUCUAAGUGGGUGGUAAAUUCCAUCUAAAGCUAAAUAUUGGCGAGAGACCGAUAGCGAACAAGUACAGUGAUGGAAAGAUGAAAAGAACUUUGAAAAGAGAGUGAAAAAGUACGUGAAAUUGUUGAAAGGGAAGGGCAUUUGAUCAGACAUGGUGUUUUGUGCCCUCUGCUCCUUGUGGGUAGGGGAAUCUCGCAUUUCACUGGGCCAGCAUCAGUUUUGGUGGCAGGAUAAAUCCAUAGGAAUGUAGCUUGCCUCGGUAAGUAUUAUAGCCUGUGGGAAUACUGCCAGCUGGGACUGAGGACUGCGACGUAAGUCA